GACGAACGCUGGCGGCGUGCCUAACACAUGCAAGUCGAACGAGAUCCAUGGGAGCUUGCUCCCGGAAGAUCUAGUGGCGAACGGGUGAGUAACACGUGAGAAACCUGCCCUGGAGUGGGGAAUAACUCGGGGAAACUCGAGCUAAUACCGCAUACCCUCGGAUGGUCGCAUGGCCGACCGAGGAAAGAUUUAUCGCUCUAGGAGGGUCUCGCGGCCUAUCAGCUAGUUGGUGGGGUAACGGCCUACCAAGGCAACGACGGGUAGCUGGUUUGAGAGAACGAUCAGCCACACUGGGACUGAGACACGGCCCAGACUCCUACGGGAGGCAGCAGUGGGGAAUCUUGCGCAAUGGGCGAAAGCCUGACGCAGCAACGCCGCGUGCGGGAUGACGGCC
rnacentral:rRNA from 1 species